GUGUCUGAGGUCGGAUUUGAACCAAAGUCUUCCUGACUCCAGGCCGGUUCUAGCUAGGUCCACCUAGUUGCCCUAGUAGAAGGAAAGUCAUCUGAAAGGAGAAAACACUAGCAUUUGAGGGUACAUGAGAACGUUCGCCCGAAGAAUGGGGGGCUUGGACCGAGUUUGGAAGGAUGCCAGGGAAAGGAGUCUGGAAAGACGCCCAGGGAAAAAGCAUUCCAGGCAUGGGGGGAGGGGGACAGGCAGUGCAAAAUUCUGGAGACGGGAGAUGGACUGACCUCAGUGAGUGAGGAGCAGAAUGUGUGGCGUCUUCCUGGAGCACAGAGUUUCUGGACGGAGCAAAAUAUAAGAAUGCUGGAAAGAUCCACGUUGUGAAGACCCCAAGAACACCUGGUAGAGAAGGAAAAAGAAAAGUACUAAGACAGAGCUUUGGAGGGACACCAUAGCCAUGAGAUGUGAUAUAAAUGGAGAGUCAAUAGAACCACCACACCUCCAGAGACAUCCGUCUCCUUGUGGAAGUUUGAGACCGUAUAACCUUCUCUCCUUGACCUAUACUAUGUGAAGCCAAUCAUUAUAGUCGCUGCUAAGAUGUACUCCACCAAGCCCACAUACGUGAGAAACCUUUCCAGCAGAUUGCCACGGAAGUAAGCACCUACAUAGGAAGAUUAGCUCCACCCCAGCCUCUGCCACCUUCAUGCCCAUCUCUGGCCGGCCACAGUGUGCAAGGGCAAUGCCGGUGGACAUCAUUUGAUAGAAGCCCUGGACCCUAUCGUUCCUCCAUCAAAUUAUCUCCAGUUGCCUCUGUAGGAUGCCUCCCAGAGCAGAGGUACUACCACUGUGCCAGUUGGCAGGGUGAAGACUGGUUUCUUGAAGACAGGCAUGAUAAUAACCUUCACUGCCAGAAAUGCUACCAUAGAGUCAGGUCUGGGUAGAUGAGCCAUGAGGCUUUUUCUGGAGGAAAAAUAACCUGGUCAUCAGGAUGUGCUGCUUGACCAAAUUACCACCCAUUCCACUGCAGACUAAAUAAUAAAAGCCGUAGACUGAGCAACAAAAUCUGACUCGACUAUCUCCAUCCCCCUUGGCUGAAUAUACAAAACCCUGCUGCACCAGACCCUUCCAAUACUGUACUCAACCCACAGCUAGAGAACUCCCUGCCUAACUUUUCUGUGGGGACAGUCUGUGCCCUAUGAGUCCAUUCAAAUGCUGCAGAACGCUGCUGGUCACAAGCGGUAUCCUGUCAGUUUGGCCACUCUCUCUGUUUGACCUUCAGCCAUGUGAUCUGACCAGUGGGUGAGAUGCUUCCUGGGCUCUCAAGGAGCUCGGGGUUCAGAAAUUCUUCAACACAGCAAACGUGGAUUUUAAGGUGAAGAUCUUGUCGGCAGAGUAAAGUAACUAGAGACAUUAGAAAUGAUGGAAAACCCCAGUAGAGGCCUGCAGUUCUGUGGUGCAGAUGAUCAUUUCACCCAGCCAGGCCAGGUCCAGGCUGUCUACUGUCCGGUGGUGCUGGUGUCCAGUCAGGGGUUCUUGGCCCUGGAGUGUUUGCCAUUUCCUCCCCCAUUGGAUUGGGGCAAGCACAGGUUAAGGGAUUUUCCCAGAGUUACACAGGUGGCGAAUGUCUGAGGCUGGAUUUGAAUUUGGCUCUUCCUGACUCCAGGCCCCAUGCUGUAUCAACCUAGCCACCUACCUGCCUCUUCUCGCCAUUGUUAGAUUACCGUAUGGCUCACCUCUUGUUCAGAUUUGCUGAGUGGUAAAAGAUUGACUCGAACCUUGGCAAGCUGGAGAACAAUCCCCAAGGCCACAAAGUCUGGGGAUGCUGGCAUUGUGCAGAUGCUUUUUGACUGACCCAUGAGUGUCAAAAGUUUCUCCCAGAACCCAAGUGAAGGUCAUUUCACAAUGAGGCAGAGAGUGGCUGUUGUGACCACAUCAGGGAAGAAAAAAAGUACCAGCUUCCAGCAAAGGCCAGCGUGAAGGGAACACCACCCUACUCGAUGAUUGUUUUGUGGGUCUGCCCAGAUUCUGCCAGACCCGCAUGUGUCUGGUGUUUUCUGUUCAUGAAUCUUGGACUUUAGUUCCCUCCUUGGGGUCAGAAAAACAGAAAACUUGGGCAGGUGGGAGGCGCAGUGGAGAGUGCUGGACCUGGGGUCAGGAAGACCUGAGUUCAAAUCCAGCCUUAGACACUAGCUGUGUGUCUGACUCCAGGGGAAAUCACUUGACUUUCCCAGGCACGGUUUAUUCAUCUUUAAAAUGUAUAUCAGUACAAUAAUAGCACCUCUCUCAUAAGGUUGUUAUGGGGCUCAAAUGAGG